rfam:Asian citrus Psyllid, Diaphorina citri - Florida Strain, whole genome shotgun sequence.
GGGGGUCAAAUUGACUCUAGUAGGGAGUCCUCUUUUACAAAGUGACUCCUUAGUAGAGUCACAUUGAUUCCUGA